rnacentral:rRNA from 1 species
GUCGAGAAUCUUUCACAAUGGGGGCAACCCUGAUGGAGCGACGCCGCGUGGAGGAUAAGGUCUUCGGAUUGUAAACUCCUGUCAUGCGUGAACAAGGUUGCUUGGUUAAUACCUGGGCAAAUUGAUGGUAACGCAAGAGGAAGAGACGGCUAACUCUGUGCCAGCAGCCGCGGUAAUACAGAGGUCUCAAGCGUUGUUCGGAAUCACUGGGCGUAAAGGGUGCGUAGGUGGCGUGGUAAGUCAGAUGUGAAAGCCGGGGGCGCAACCUCGGAACUGCAUCCGAUACUGCCAUGCUAGAGUACUGGAGAGGUGACUAGAAUUCUCGGUGUAGCAGUGAAAUGCGUAGAUAUCGAGAGGAAUACCAAAGGCGUAGGCAGUUCACUGGACAGUUACUGACACUGAGGCACGAAGGCCAGGGGAGCGAACGGGAUUAGAUACCCUGGUAGUCC